CCCCCACAAUCAACAAGUCGUGGUUCGCACCGGAAGACCCACGUUUCAGGAAGAGACGGGUUUUGCUUCUUCGGGAUCAGUUUUAGGGUUUAGCAAUCCCACACACACAACAAAUGCACCCCUAUUCUGUCCAUUGAACCAUCGUCAUCUUCAUCUCUAUCUCCAUCUCCAUGUCUGAGGAAUUUACAUCCCACGCAGGCCAAGUUCGGAAUCUAUGAAGCACCGUGAAUGGAGCGAUUUUGAGGAUUUUGGUGGAGGAGGCUCUAACGCAAACAUGCAUCGCAAGCGGAGGGGCGCGCGAGAGACAUCCCCCGAUGUGCUUAUUGCACAGCCUCCCAUCGAUAAUUCCUACCCGCAAUUACCUCCCGGUGUGCCAAUAGCGAGAGGAUUAAUUAGUGAGUCUAGUUUUGCUCCGAACUCUAGCCAUUUUCGAAGUGAUUCAAGGUUUCCUCCAGGCUUCGACUACAGACAUAGUUUUCAUGAAGUCAAGAUGAUGUUUCAGGAGUCUUUGAAAGGAUCAUCAGGGGAGGGAGUUUGGGCUCUACCCCAUAUUCAGGAGUCUUGGGAGAUCACCUCAGAUAGGCCGUUUCUUCCACGGAAGAGAUCACCUCCUCGUGAUGCUAACAUCACGAAUUCCUCUAGUCGGAUUUCUAAAGGAGAUAAACGAGGUGAUAGAAUUGAGGAACCUUGUGGCCCGUCGCUGAGCCCUCGAACACUCGCUUCAGCAGAUGGUCCCAUCGCACAGGACACGUCUCAGGGAAGAGCAAUGCAGUUGUUGCCCACCGGGAAGAAGAAUAAAACGAAGAAACAGAGUGCUGAGAAUAUUCAACCAGCUUGUGCAGGUCCUCCUUCUAUUCGGCGUUUAUUAAUAAAUCGCAAUCCCAUUGUAUUACCAUCAUCUGCUGAAGAGGCAAGGUCACUUGCCCCUGACUCUAGCAGCCUAGGAGAACCUUCUAGCAUCCCAGGAGUACCUCUUGUUUCUCGUUCUAGCAUCGGUGGGAGACCCAGCAUCCUAGGGGAGCCCCCUGUUUCAUCGUCUGGCGCAGCUACAACUCACAAACAGGUUACUGUAGAUAUUAGUGCGGAGCAAGCUACAGAAUCCUGCCACAAGUUGCGGAACAAACUCAACAUCGCAAUGCAACAUCGGGAAAGGUUCCUGAAGGAAAGGGAACGAAAGUUCACCCAAAGCCUUAUGAAGAAACAAGUUUUGGAGGAGGAGAUGAAAGAAAUUGCUGAUAUGCAGAAUGACGUAAUGGAAGAACAGAGAUUACUAAAAGAGGAGGAACAAAGAAUAAGAAAGGAGAAGGAGGCUAUUGAACGCGCAAGCAUUGAUAUUGCUGUGCAGAUGACCGAGCUUAAGCAAUUGCAGAUGCAAAUUGAAGAAGAGAAGGCAGCUGUUUUAGCUUUAAAAGCAGAGCUUGGUGUUAGUGAGAGGUGUUCACAGGAGCGGGAUCAUGUCGAAACCACUGUAGAUACAUAUCUUAGUGCAGUCAAGUUGAAAAUUGACAAGUCAUCUGUUAAUUUGCGUGUUAAUUCUAGUUGUGGUCCAAAUAUCAGCUCUGAACCCGGUGCAAUACAAAGUGGGAUGCAUAAUCAAGAACCAGGAAAGGCAAUGGUCAAUUCAAAGUUAUCGCCUGCGGUUAGUCACAGAAAUUUCAAGUCCGCGAAAGCCGAGCCUGUGACUCCAGAAGCAGAUGCUGCACAUGUAGAUAAAACGAAUAACAAUGACGAUUCCAGUGAUGAUGACAUGGAUGACGUUCCAUUGGCUACUAGGCUCUCAAAACAGCGAGUUGAAAAAGUAAGAGAGAAGAGAAGAUCAGCGGAGGAAUCAAAUCAACACGAAUUUUCGAACGUAGAAUCUUCAAAGCGAAGAGCAGACGUAAAGAGAGAACCUCUGUUGUUGGGAGGCAAGUCAUCGUCACAUGACAUCCAUGCGAAGAGAAAUAAAGUAUCAAUUGAAGUUGCGUUACAAGAAGAUGCACCCGGCCUUCUGGAGCAAUUGGAAGAAAGAGGUCUGCUCGAGGACAUGGACGUCUAUGAAGAUUUGGAGAUGGACGAUUCUCUAGCCACAGAGAGCCCUGGUUGUGGAUUUGGACAACUUGAGGGCGUUAUCGGCAAAGCUUGGGGGUCUUCUUCGGGGCUUGGGAAGGAUCUUCUACCUCCUAAAGUGCAGCAAGGGUCAGGCAUCAUGCCUCGUUACUGCCUUGCCUGUCUACUGUCGUUGAUUGAGCAGACAAGAUUAUUGCGCAAGAGAAAAUGGCCAGUGGAGUGGGGUUGGAGUAGACGCCUGCGUGCGUUUCUAUUUGUGUUUGAAAAACACAACAGUGCAUUGCUUUUCGCAGGAUUGUGUUGGAGCGUCCUGAGUAUGGGUAUGCAACAUACUUUUUUGAGUUGGUGCAGGGAUUACCUGUGAAAUGGCAAGUGCAGCGAUUGAUCGCUGUUAUGAGCGUGGCAACUACUGGUCGUGCAGCUCUUCUAGACAACCGCCAGCUUGUGGUGGGUGUCGAUAUUACACAGGAAGAGGCAUCUAUUUUGGAAGAUUAUGGAUGGAGCUGGGGGAGCGGGUUGGGUUCUCUUCUCAACUUCUGCCAUCGUGUGGUACAUGACUAUAACAAAGGGCAGGACUCAGCUGACCUUGGAAACGAGUGGAAGCAGAAAAUAGGGAAGCUGCUUAUGGACGGUUACGACCAAGGCAGAAUGAUUGUAGGCUCCAUACCAAAAAAAUUGCCAAGGAAUCCUGGAAAUCAUGUGCUUGAAACUGAUCCCUCGCCCGGCUUGAACGUGAAAACCGAGCUACCUUGGUCAUCAAAUAAUGUAUGAGGGGUGUAUCCAUGUCCAUUUGUCAUCAUAUAUUGGUUAUUUCAAACAUUGUGAUCAGACCAAAUCACUGGCUGAAGCUCUAAAGCACAAAAGUCUUUAAUGUUACGAAGAUUCUAGUGAACAAUUUCUGGUCUAAUUUUAAUGGUCUAAAGUCCAACCAAACUAUAGACUAUGAGCUUAGUUCUUAUUCUGUAGGCUUGCAGUUGGUGUGGGUUGGUUGUAUCAAAUUUUAUGAUCAUUCAAGUGUAUUCAUUGUUUCAUAUUAAGGUGUAUAUACCACUUUUGGUCUUGGAAAAGUAAACUCAUUUGACUU